rnacentral:SRP_RNA from 1 species
GGUCUGAACCCAUGCAAUUACAACGCUCAAAUCUUGUCAGGACCGGAAGGUAGCAGCAAUACGGGAUGCUUGUGGUAGGCGUGGACUUCGGGCCCUU